AGAGCAAGAAACAACACAGAGUGCGGCCUUAGAUUAGAAUACAUUGGAACAUCAAAACAUACCGUGAAAUUCAUUGUCUGCAUCAAUGACCAACACAGGAAACUAUGCUGGGGGGAGGGAGCCAACGUGUCGCCACAGUUCCAGUGCCAACACAGCAUUCCCACAACUUACUAACCCUAAUCCGUUCAUCAUUGAUAAACUCACAGGUCCCGACGGAUUGGAAGACGGCAAAUGUCACACCACUGUUCAAAAAAGGAUGUAUGCAAAAAGCAGGUGAUUAAGUGGCUUUUGUCUCAGACUAUCACUGUUGAUGGCAUUCGUGACAAAGAUGGUGUGAAAAAAACUCUAUCUCCGUCCUCAGAGAGACUUCGAGUGUCUGAUUCUCUGUGAGUGCAGAAGGAAGGUUCCCUCUCGUAGCUUGCUACUAAUAAAGGCGGAAAAGAA